CCUACGGGGGGCAGCAGUGAGGAAUAUUGGUCAAUGGGCGGGAGCCUGAACCAGCCAAGCCGCGUGAGGGAAGAAGGUACAGCGUAUCGUAAACCUCUUUUGUCAGGGAACAAAGGCGGGGACUAGUCCCCGGAUGAGGGUACCUGAAGAAAAAGCAUCGGCUAACUCCGUGCCAGCAGCCGCGGUAAUACGGAGGAUGCGAGCGUUAUCCGGAUUUAUGGGGUUUAAAGGGUGCGAAGGCGGCCUGUUAAGUCAGCGGUAAAAGCCCGGGGCUCAACCCCGGAGAGCCGUUGAAACUGGCGGGCUGGAGUUGGAGAGAGGUACGCGGAAUGCGCGGUGUAGCGGUGAAAUGCUUAGAUAUCGCGCAGAACCCCGAUUGCGAAGGCAGCGUACCGGCUCCACACUGACGCUGAGGCACGAAAGCGUGGGUAUCGAACAGGAUUAGAUACCCCGGUAGUC
rnacentral:rRNA from 1 species